rnacentral:tRNA from 1 species
GAGGGUACAGCUCAGGGGUAGAGCGUGUACUUAACAUGCAGGAGGUCCUGGGUUCAAUCCCCAGUACCUCCA